CAGAUUAAGCUUAAUAGUUAAGAAUUUCAUUUACACUGGAAUAUGAGUUGUGCAAGUCAACGUAAUUUGA
rnacentral:tRNA from 1 species